CAAAGUGGCGGGAAAAUGCUCUGAUCAGUAUACUGCAAUAUAUAUAUACAGUAUAUGUUGCAGUAUACUGAUCAGAGCAUUUUCCCGCCACUUUGUUCAGCU